rnacentral:rRNA from 1 species
UACGUAGGGAGCAAGCGUUGUCCGGAAUUACUGGGCGUAAAGGGCGCGUAGGCGGCCUGUUAAGUCGAACGUGAAAUCCCCGGGCUCAACCCGGGAACUGCGUCCGAUACUGGCAGGCUUGAAUCCGGGAGAGGGAUGCGGAAUUCCAGGUGUAGCGGUGAAAUGCGUAGAUAUCUGGAGGAACACCGGUGGCGAAGGCGACAUCCUGGACCGGCAUUGACGCUGAGGCGCGAAAGCCAGGGGAGCAAACGGG